AUUAAAUGGCUGCAGUAUAUUGACUGUACAAAGGUAGCAUAAUAAUUAGUUUUUUAAUUGGAAACUUGUAUGAAUGGAUAAAUGAGGGAUUUAUUUUAUUUUUCUUAAUGCUUGAAUUUAAUUUUUUGGUCAAAAAGCUAAAUUAAUUUUUAGGGACGAUAAGACCCUAUAGAACUUAAAGUUUAAGUUUUUAUUUUUUUCUUUAGAAAUUUUAUUAAGUUAUGUUAAUUAAACUUUUAGUUGGGGUGACUAAUAAAUUAGAUAGGCUUUAUUUUUUUUUUUCAUAAAUUAGUGUAUUAAUGAUCCUUAAUUAAGAUUACAAGAUAAGUUACCUUAGGGAUAACAGCGUUAUUUCAAUUGAAAGUUCUUAUUAAUAUUGAAGUUUGCGACCUCGAUGUUGAAUUAAGAUAAAUUUAUGG
rnacentral:rRNA from 1 species